rnacentral:rRNA from 1 species
UACGGAGGGUGCGAGCGUUGUCCGGAAUCACUGGGCGUAAAGGGCGCGUAGGCGGCUGGGGAAGUCGGCGGUGAAAGCCCGGAGCUCAACUCCGGGUCGGCCGUCGAGACUCCUCGGCUCGAGCUCACUAGAGGCAGAUGGAAUUCCGGGUGUAGCGGUGGAAUGCGUAGAGAUCCGGAAGAACACCCGGUGGCGAAGGCGGCUGCUCGG